CACAUGCAUUAUCCUGAACCAGGAUACACACAUGUACAACCACAGGCACGCGCACGCACAAGAGCACAUUGCCGGCAAGAGAGGACAAGGGUCAUGACUAGGGGUAUUUUCUGGAUAACAUGGGAAGAUCUACGAGUGAGAUCUACUUGAGUGGAAACCAAAGUCUUUUGAAGAAUCCACCUGCAUACACAGCCAUUCAGAGGUGGAUUUGCUGGUG